rnacentral:lncRNA from 1 species
GUGGGAACGCGGCCGCGGACCUGGUACCCCAGAGCAGCGAGCGGGUGGGGAGCAGCCGGGGCGAGAAUGAGCGCAAUCUUGCUAACCCCUGCGGAGGGAGCGCGCGGGCGCCAACGCGGGCGCGCGGGGGCGGGCCCUGGACCUGGACCUUGGGUUUCGGCCCUCCUCCGCGCCCCGCGGUCUCGCGGGCGAAGUUUCAGUCCUGAGUGUAAAGAAUAACCCCAAGCGCGUGGCUAAGUGCGAGCAGGCGCGUGUGACGUCGGGAGGCGCCGCGGCUCCUCGGCCGCCCCACUCGGUGGUCCCCUGUCUGGAUCCAAACUGCUGACUGGCUGACCCGAGUGGUCACAUUUGCCCUCUGGGGCUUUUGAAAACCUUAAAUCAAAAUUGCUUUUGAAUCUGACAACUCCUGAGGCUACUUUCGCGGCCUCGGGGCUGUUUCAUAUAAGGACGCGAGUUUUCCUGAUCAGGUCUGUCGGCCACGUUACGAUUUCCAAUUUGCGAUCCAUCAGUUACUUCCAUUGGGUCUUCAGCCCCCAGGGACUGUGGAUCCUAGACCCCGCGGAGAAGCCCGUGGACUGGAGCUGUGUCAGCUCUGAUGAAUUUACACUCAUUGGAAUAAUAAAAUAGAAGUAAGCAACCGUGCAUUAAAAAGCUAUGAAAAGAUGAAGAGAAUAUGCCUUCAAAUGGGAAGGAAUACUUAACUGUGAAUAAGACCUAGUUCAACAUGGAACUUCCUGGUGGCCAAGUCAGAAGAGAAGCACAGAACAAAAACGGAGGCACAGAGAGGUCAAUUGAUUGGUCUAAUGACACAGAUCUAGCAAGUGGUGGAACCAGGACUGAAUCCAGAGGGUUUAUCAAUUGUGUUGAUCUUUUCAAAAAGCAAACUAUCGGAUAUUGGGGGAAGAUGGCAGAUAGGAAACAAGGCUAACGUGCAGCUCCCACAUGAAUGGUCACAACAGUGUGUGCAGACUCACACUGUGAACUUUUCUCCAAGGAUCACUGCAGGAACAUACCAGGAAAACUGAAAGAAUUCACACUUUGAAAGAAGCAGCAUGCCACUGCAAAUUCCAUGAAACAGCAGUGGAGACAACUCGCAACAUCAGCAACACAUUUGGCCCUGGAACUGCUAAUGAAUGUACAGUGCAGUGAUGGUUCAAAAAGUUUUGCAAAGGAGACAAGAGCCUUGAAGAUGAGGAGCAUGGUGGCGGGCCAUCAGAAGUUGACAGUGACCAAUUGAGAGCAAUCAUCGAAGCUGAUCCUCUUACAACUACACAAGAAGUUGCAGAAGAACUCAAUGCCUACCAUUCUAUGGUCACUUGGCAUUUGAUACAAAUUGUAAAGGUGAAAAAGCUGAAUAAAUGGGUGCCUCAUGAGUGAAAAUCAAAAAAAUCAUCAUUUUGAAGUGUCAUCUCCUCUUACUCUUUGCAACAACAAUUUGCAAGAACCAUUUCUUGAUCAGAUUGUGACAUGUGACGAAAAUUGGAUUUUAUACAACUGGCAAUGGCCAGCUCAGCAGUUGGACCGAGAAGAAACUCCAAAACACUUCCCAAAGCCAACCUUGCACCAAAAAAGGUUAUCGUCAUUGUUUGGUGGUCUGCUGCCAAUCUUAUCCACUACAGCUUUCUGAAUCCCGGCAAAACCAUUAUAUCUGAAAAUUAUGCUCAGGAAGUCUAUGAAAUGCACUGAAAACUGCAAUGCCUGGAGCUGGCAUUGGUCAACAGAAAGGGCCCAAUUCUUCUCAAAACAGUGCCUAAUCACACGUCACACAACCAACACUUCAAAAAUUGAACAAAUUGUACUAUGAAGUUUUGUCUAAUCUGCAAUAUUCACUUGACCUCUCACCAACUGACUACCACUUCUUUAAGCAUCUCAACAGCUUUUUGCAGGGAAAACACUUCCACAACCAGCUGGAUGUAGAAAAUGCUUUCCAAGCAUUCACUGAAUCUCAAGGCACAGAUUUUUAUGCUACAGGAAUAAACAAACAUUUCUUGUUGGCAAAAAUGUGUUGAUUGUAAUGGUUCCUGUUUUGAUUAAUAAAGAGGUGGUUUGAGCCUAGUUAUAAUGACUGAAAAUUCAUGAUCUGAAACUGCAAUUACUUGUGCACCAACCUAAUAUGAUCAUCUCAAUAGAUGCAGAAAAAGCACUUGACAAAAUUCAGCAUCUUUUUAUAAUUAAAACCCUCAGCAAAGUUGGCAUAGAAGGGAUAUACCUCAAGGUAAUAAAAGCCAUCUAUGAAAAACCUACAGCCAGAUUAUACAGAAUGGCGAAAGAUUGAAAGCAUUUCCCAUGAGAACUGAAAAAGACAAAGAUGCCCACAUCUACCACUUCUAUUCAAUAUAGUACUGGAAGUCCUAGCCAGAGCAAUCAGACAUGAGAAAGAAAUAAAGGGCAUCAAAAUCAGUAAAGAGGAAGUUGAACUGUUGCUGUUUAGUGGUGAUAUGAAUGUACACCUAGAAAACCCUAAAGAGUCAUCCAAAAAACUGCUAGAUCUGAUAAAUGAAUUCAGCAAAGUUUCAGGAUACAAAAUCAAGGUACACAAAUUAGUAGGACUACUAUACACCAACAAUGACCAAGCUGAGAAACUAACCGAGAACUCAAUCCCUUUUACAACAGCUGCAAGAAAUUAAAACACUUAGAAAUAUACUUAACCAAGAAGGUGAAAGAUCUGUACAAGAAAAACUACAAAACCUGCUGAAAGAAAUCAUUAAUGACUCAAACAAAUGGAAACACAUCCCAUGCUCACAGAUACGUAGAAUCAAUGGUGUGAAAAUAACCAUACUGCCAAAAGCAGUUUACAGAUUGAAUGCAAUUCCAUCAAAAUACCACCAUCAUUCUUCAUAGAACUAGAAAAAACAAUCUGAAAAUUCACAUGAAACCAAAAAAAGAAAAGACCCCACAUAGCCAAAGCAAGACUAAGCAAAAGAACAAAUCUGGAAGCAUCACAUUACCCAGCAAAACAGCAUGAUACUGGUAUAAAAAUAGGCAUGUAGACCAAUGGAACAGAAUAGAGAAUCCAGAAAUAAAGCCAAAUACUUGCAGCCAACUGAUCUUUGACAAAGCAAACAAAAACAUAAAGUGGGGAAAAGUCACCCAAUAUCAACAAAUAGAGCUGCGAUAAUUGGCAAGCUACAUUUAGAAAAAUGAAAUGGAUCCUCAUCUCUCACCUUAUGCAAAAAUCAACUCAAGAUGGAUCAAAGACUUAAAUCUAAGACCUGAAACUAUAAAAAUUCUAGAAGGUAACACUGGCAAAACUCUUCUAGACAUUGGCUUAGGCAAAGAGUACAUGACCAAGAACCCAAAAGCAAAUGCAACAAAAACAAAAGUAAAUAAAUGGGACCUAAUUAAACUAAAAAGCUUCUGCACAGUGAAAGAAACAAUCAGCAGAGUAAACAGGCAACCCACAAAAUGGGAGAAAAUACUCACAAAUUAUGCAUUUGACAAAGGACUAAUAUCAAGAAUCUACAAGGAACUCAAAUCAGCAAGACAAAACAAAUAAUCUCAUCAAAAAGUGGGCAAAGGACAUAAAUAGACAAUUCUCAAAAGAAGAUAUACAAAUGGCCGACAAACACAUGCAAAGAUGCGCAACAUCACUAUCAGGGAAAUGCAAAUCAAAACCACAACGAGAUACUACCUUACUCCUGCAAGAAUGGCCAUAAUUAAAAAAAAUAAUAAAUAGUAGGUGUUGGAGUGGAUAUGGUGAAAAGGGAACACUUUUACACUGCUGGUGGGAAUGUAAGCUAGUACAACCACUGUGUAAAACAGGAUGGAUAUUCCUUAAAGAACUAAAGUAGAACUACCAUUUGAUCCAGCAAUCCCACUGCUGGGUAGAGAGUCUACCCAGAGGAAAAUAAGUCAUUAUAUGGUAAAGACACAAGCAUAUGCAUGCAUUAUAAGUAAGAGGUAAGCUAUGAGAAUGCAAAGGCAUAAGAAUGAUAUCAUGGACUUUGGGGAUUCAGGGGGAAGAGGGAGGUGAGGGAUAAACAACUACACAUUGGGUACAUUGUACACUGCUUGGGUGAUGAGUACACCAAAAUCUGAGAAAUUACCACUAACGCAUUAAUCCAUGCAACCAAAAACUACCAGAAAAGGAUUGACAUUAAAAAAAGUUAAAAUAAAAUAAAAAUAAACUGAGAGGGAGGAAAGCCCUUUGAUUUAUGACACAGAAGCCAUAAACAAUAUGACUAUAGGAUAAUAUGUAUUUUUAAUUUUUUCAAUCUUACUAUAUCAGAAAAUUAUCAGACAUUUGAUAGUACAUCCUCCCCACAAGAAAGGUGUGGGAAAACAUCAUGCAUUCUUGGACUCAACAAAAAUUUGCUUUUAAAUACUAAUUUUAGAAUUAUAAUUGCACAUUUAAAUGAAACAUAUAUAAGGUCAUUGUAUACUUAAAUACUGCUUAUAAUAGCAAAAGACUGCAAACAACAACUUAAAAGUCUAUCAGCAGGAGUCUUGUUAAAGUAUUAUAUAAAUUACACAAUGAAAAACUAAAAAUUGUGCACCUGUAUAGAGAAUACCAAUGCUCUCUAAGCAUGGUGGAAAAUUGUGUUCAUAUUAUGCUAAAAAUUUUAUGGGGGAGAGAAAGAAAAUAUAUACCUAUAAAAUUUGUAGACUGUUUCUCAAAGGAUACAUGAGAAACUUGUAAGAGAGAAUGCAACUGGGGAGGAAAAAUGGGUGGUGGAGUAGAGGAAAGGGAAAUAAACUUAGUUUUCAUUAUUUAAAAAACCAUCUGUUUUGUUGAUUUGCUCUGCUUUUUGAGUUCUCUAUUUUAUUCAUUUUCACCCUAUUAUGUAUUAUUUGCUUCCUCUGUUUGCUCUGGUUUUAAUUUACUCUUCCUUUUCUAGUUUCUUUACCUUCGGGUUUAAAGUAUUGAUUUGAGAUCUUUAUUCUUUUUGAAAGUAAGUAUUUACAGUUAUAACUUUCCCUCUGAACACUGCUUUUAUUGCAUCCUAUGCAUUUUGGUAUGUUGUGUGUUUGUUUUCAUUCAUUUCAGAGUAUUUUCUAAUUUCCCUUGUUAUUUCUUCUUUGACUAAAUAAUUAUGUGAAGUGUAUCAUUUAACUUCUACAUAUUUGGUAAUUUCCCAAUUUUCCUGUUGUUACUUAUUCUAAAUUUACUUCUGUUGGGGUCAGAGAGCACACCUUGUACAACUGUAGUCUUUUAAAAUUUAUUAAAACUUGUUUUGUGGCUUAGUA